AUGUUAAGGCUGGGACAUUUCCUGAAAAAAAUUUGGAAUCUCUCCCAUGCCUCCGGAUAGCUCUCGAGAUCUUUCUAUUUAAAAGUGUGGAUUUCAUUCCUGACUU
rnacentral:snoRNA from 1 species